rnacentral:other from 1 species
UUACCCCUGCCCAGUGCGUGGACUGUGCUUAUAUAACCCUACAAUUAAUUAAACGGGAGUUGGUCUCCGGCGACGGAUUGCAGACCUCCCGGCACAGUCCUGAGCUGUGUUGGACGAAGGGAGCGCGAAAGCGUUGGGCUGACACCCACCUGCUAUCGAGUAGCAGGUUAUUUUAAGCGCAAUACGGCUGGGCGGGAUCAUA